AGAGUUUGAUCAUGGCUCAGAUUGAACGCUGGCGGCAGGCUUAACACAUGCAAGUCGAGCGGAGAGAGGUAGCUUGCUACUGAUCUUAGCGGCGGACGGGUGAGUAAUGCUUAGGAAUCUGCCUAUUAGUGGGGGACAACAUUUCGAAAGGAAUGCUAAUACCGCAUACGUCCUACGGGAGAAAGCAGGGGAUCUUCGGACCUUGCGCUAAUAGAUGAGCCUAAGUCGGAUUAGCUAGUUGGUGGGGUAAAGGCCUACCAAGGCGACGAUCUGUAGCGGGUCUGAGAGGAUGAUCCGCCACACUGGGACUGAGACACGGCCCAGACUCCUACGGGAGGCAGCAGUGGGGAAUAUUGGACAAUGGGCGCAAGCCUGAUCCAGCCAUGCCGCGUGUGUGAAGAAGGCCUUAUGGUUGUAAAGCACUUUAAGCGAGGAGGAGGCUACUUUAGAUAAUACCUAGAGAUAGUGGACGUUACUCGCAGAAUAAGCACCGGCUAACUCUGUGCCAGCAGCCGCGGUAAUACAGAGGGUGCAAGCGUUAAUCGGAUUUACUGGGCGUAAAGCGCGCGUAGGCGGCUAAUUAAGUCAAAUGUGAAAUCCCCGAGCUUAACUUGGGAAUUGCAUUCGAUACUGGUUAGCUAGAGUGUGGGAGAGGAUGGUAGAAUUCCAGGUGUAGCGGUGAAAUGCGUAGAGAUCUGGAGGAAUACCGAUGGCGAAGGCAGCCAUCUGGCCUAACACUGACGCUGAGGUGCGAAAGCAUGGGGAGCAAACAGGAUUAGAUACCCUGGUAGUCCAUGCCGUAAACGAUGUCUACUAGCCGUUGGGGCCUUUGAGGCUUUAGUGGCGCA
rnacentral:rRNA from 1 species